UACGAAGGUCCCAAGCGUUAUCCGGAUUUAUUGGGUUUAAAGGGUGCGUAGGCGGGCUAUUAAGUCAGUGGUGAAAGCCCCAGCUUAACUUGGGAACUGCCAUUGAUACUGAUGGUCUUGAGUACAUUUGAGGUGGGCGGAAUGUGUCAUGUAGCGGUGAAAUGCUUAGAUAUGACACAGAACACCGAUUGCGAAGGCAGCUCACUAAACUG
rnacentral:rRNA from 1 species